CAUUUGGUAGCUCAUCGGGUAGAGCAACAGAAUUCGGUUCUGUCGGUAGUGGGUUCGAUUCCCAUCCAAAUGUCCA
rnacentral:tRNA from 1 species